UCUAGUACAUAGUUAAAAGGAAACUAAUCUUUCAAAUACUAGUAUAUUUUUGAAAAUUAAAUAAAUAAUAAUUAAAUAAAGUAAUUCUUUGGUCAAAUAGAAUAAAAUCUUUGAAAAUGAAAAAAAAUCUGUUAUUAUUAAGUAGAUCUAUGGUCAGUGAAAAAUUAAAUUUGUGAUAGACUAGUCAAAUCUAAAUAUGUUAAAAGUUGUUGAAUUUUUUUUUAAUUCAUAUGACAUAAUUAAUAGUUCAAUAGGUCAGACCACCGCCCCGUCAAUAUUCCAUAUUUAUAUAUUAUUAUCAUAAUUACAGUCAAUUUUCCAAAAAUAUAAUAAUAAUAAUAAUUAUUAUUAUUAAUUGUAUUAUAAUGGUCACCUCAUCAUCCUAUAAAUCUCUCCUUAGUGUUACCCAAAAUUUAGAGUCUUUCAAUAUUCAAUAAACAAGUAACUAAAUCUAGAAAUACAUAUGUCUAACGCAAAAUUUUCAGUUGUUUUCCCCAUCAUCUUCCUUAUAAUGUUUGCUUUAGUGGAGGAUAAUAUGGGAUGUCAGGCGAGUCUUGGUGAUUGCCGUAUAUGCGGAAUAAAAUGCAGUUAUUACGGAAGACAUGCAGAGGCUCACUGUAUCGGUGGUAUUUGUGUUUGCGACUUUCCUUGUAAACCUCCACCAAAACUAUAAAAUCAAAAUUAUUUAAAAUUAAAAAGAUGAAAUAAUACUUUGAAUAUCAUAAUCAUAAUUGCUGCAGUCUUUCAUAGUAUUUUAAAUAAUAAUUCCGUGAACCUUUGAUAUCAAUAAAAUUUAUAGAACACAAAA